AUUGAACGCUGGCGGCGUGCCUUACACAUGCAAGUCGAACGGCAGCACGGGAGCAAUCCUGGUGGCGAGUGGCGAACGGGUGAGUAAUAUAUCGGAACGUGCCCAGUCGUGGGGGAUAACGCAGCGAAAGCUGUGCUAAUACCGCAUACGAUCUACGGAUGAAAGCGGGGGAUCGCAAGACCUCGCGCGAUUGGAGCGGCCGAUAUCAGAUUAGCUAGUUGGUGAGGUAAAGGCUCACCAAGGCGACGAUCUGUAGCUGGUCUGAGAGGACGACCAGCCACACUGGAACUGAGACACGGUCCAGACUCCUACGGGAGGCAGCAGUGGGGAAUUUUGGACAAUGGGCGCAAGCCUGAUCCAGCAAUGCCGCGUGCAGGAUGAAGGCCUUCGGGUUGUAAACUGCUUUUGUACGGAACGAAACGGCGAGCUUUAAUACAGUUUGCUAAUGACGGUACCGUAAGAAUAAGCACCGGCUAACUACGUGCCAGCAGCCGCGGUAAAAC
rnacentral:rRNA from 1 species